CAAAGACCUUUUUUCUGCAGGUUAUCACCUGAACAGGAAAGAUAGAUUAUUCUUAUUAAUUUGGUAACAUUUUAUUGAGUGGUUAUUGUAUGCACAGCAAUGUGCUAAAUGUUAAAAGGGUAUUUAUUCUCUUUCAUCCUUUUGUAUUGAAAAGCAUUCAGCCUGUUGAUGCUUAGAUAGUAAGUUCCUGUCCUUACAGAGCUUACAUUCUAGUGAGAGAGACAGGGAGGAAAAAGAUAAAAAUAAUAACAGUAAGUUACAGUAAAUCAUAGUAGGUACUAGGAAACACACAGAUGAGCCGCUGAGAUGAGCCCUACCUCAGAUACAGUGGGCAGAUAAGGCUACUCAAAGGAUGGGGCUGAGACUAGAGGGUGAGAAGAGGCUGCUGCACAGAGUGUGGGGAAGCCCAUCCUGGUGUCCUCAAUUGCCAACGGUGGGACUUGGGGCAAUUUAACCUCUCCGUGUCUUUGUUUCCUCAUCCGUGUCUUUGUUUCCUCAUCCGUAAAAGGUGAAGCAGGAUAGUAGGUAUUUCACACCACGGUUGUGGAGGCUAAACGUGUGCGUCUUCAGAGGGUAUUUAGAACAGGGCCUAGCAUGGAGCAAGAGCAAAAUAAAUCCUAGUUAUUCCUGCUAGUCCAAAAGAGGGACUGGCAUGUGCCAAAGCCUGAGGCAGGAAAGAUCUUUGGCAGAUGAAUUAAAGUGAAGCAAGAUGAGAGUGGCUAGAGCAGAGAAGGCAAGGAGGUGAGUGGCCCAAGAUGAGGCUACAAACAUAGAUGGGGUCAGAUCAUGCAGGCCCUUGGGGUUCAUAGUAAAGAGUUUGGAUUUUUUUUUUUUUUUUCUUAGUGAAAUCCGAAGCCACUGAAGAAUUUAAGCUGGAGAUUGAUGUCACUGGAUUUGUGUUUUAAGAUGAUCCCUUUACCUGCUGUGUGGAGAACAGCCUGGAGGGGGCAAGAGUAAAGAGAGAGUGACCGAGCAGACAGGAGGAUGCGGUACAGUGGUUGGGGCGGGAGAUGGAUGAUGGUGGCUGGGCUGAGGUGGAGGGAGGGAAAUGAGGAGAGUGGUUUCAAGAUAUACUUUGGAAACAGACUGGGCAGUAUUUGUGAAUUAAGUGAAUUAAGAGGAAAGAGAAAACAGGGGGGAGAUCAAGGCAAGGCUGCCGUACACAGCUGUGCAGAAUGUUCACGCCUGAGUGUGCUGAGCUGACAUGGGCAUAUGAACGCUGACAUCCAGCAGACACUUGGUUCACAAAGUCCUGUCCCCUGGCAUGGGUCGCAUGUCCUUGCAAGGAGUGCCUUUUUCUGAUUUCUACAAAGGCAGUCCGUAGGCUGGGAGCAGUCCCACACUUUAAUUCUGGCUUGGGUACUAGGUAAAUGAUGUUGCCACUAUAAGAAAUGAGAGCACCGGGAGGGAGGUGAGAAAAAAUCAAGAGCUUUGGCCUUGGCGAGGUCUCAGAGGUCCCCGAGAUUCCAAGUAGAGAUUUUAGAUUGGUAGUUGGCUGCUUGAUACUGAUCUUCUUUGACCUGAUCUUGUUAUUUCCCAUAAUUUGCCUGUAGAUGGGAUUUUACUCAACAAAAUCAUUAUUCACAAAUAAUGGCAAUUUUAUUAAUUCCUAUCCAGUCUCUGUGUGCAUAUAUAAUUAUAUUUUAAUAUAUUAUGAUUAUAAUAUAUAAAAAAAUGCAUAUUCUUUUUGCCUUACUGCACUUGCUCAGGCCUCCAGAGUAAGGUUAAAUAUAAAGAAUGUAGGUGAUCAUCCUUGCCUUAUCCCAGGUCUCAGAGACAAAGUUUUUAGUCUAUCUCCAUUAAGUAUAAUGGCUAAUUGUUUCUUUGUCAAGACCCUUAUCAGAUUAACAAAGUUAUUUUCUAUUCCUAAAUGUUAAAGAGUAGAUCAAGAAGAUGUGGUACAUAUAAAAAACAAUGGAAUAUUACUCAGCCAUUAAAAGGAAUGAAAUACCUUCAUUUUUAGCAACAUGGAUGGACCUAGAAAUUAUCAUGCUGAGUGAAGUCAGUCAGACAAUGAGACACCAAUAUCAAAUGCUUUCACCAACACGUGGAAUCUGAAAAAAGGACACAAUGAACUUCUCUGCAGAACAGAUACUGACUCACAGGCUUUGAAAAACUUAUGGUUUCCAAAGGAGACAGUUUGGAGGAUGGCGGAGGCACUGGGGCUGUGGGAUAGAAAUCCUAUAAAAUUGGAUUGUGAUGAUCAUUGUACAACUAUAAAUAAAAUAAAUUCACUGAGUAAUAAAAAAAGAAUGUUAAAUUUCAUCAGAUGUUUUUUCUGAAUCUAUUGAGAUAGUCAUGUUUUCUCUCAUAAUUUCCCUUUCUUCCUCAUAAUAUCCUUGAAUCUUGCUGAGAGGGUUAUGCUGGUAUCAUGAAGCGGGUCACUCACUUUCCAUCCUUUGGGACAAGUUGUAUUAGAACUGAUUCAUCUCUUCCUUAAGUUUUUGAUAGAAUUUAUUGGUGAAGUUAUCUGAACCUGGACUUUACUUUGUGGAAAGGAUUUUGAAUAUGGAUUCAUUUUCUGUAAUAGUUAUAAGAUUAUUCGGAUUUUUCUAUUUUGUCUCUUUCAUUACUUUUAGAAAAUUACGUUUCCCCAGGAAUUUGUCCAUUCCAUCUAAAUUUUCAAAUUUAUUGACAAAGUUGUUAAUGAUGAUGAUGAUAAUGAUAUUCUCUUACUAUCCCUUUAAAAUAUGAAUUUGUGUCUUCUCUCUCUUUUUUCUUGGUCAGUCUAGUCAGAGGCUUAUCCCAAAGAAUCAUCUUUGGGGCAUGACUGCUAAUGGUACAGUUUCUUUUUGUGGUUCUGAAAAUGUUUGGAAAUUAAAUACUAGUGAUGAUGGUACAACUCUAUGAAUACACUAAAAAAUCACUGAAUUGUACGUGUUAAAAGGAUGAAUUUUAUGCAUUUGAAUUAUAUAAUACAGCUGUUAUUAAUAUAUAUGUAAAUAUUAAUAAUAAUAAAAUGAUAUGACCAAUAUAACCUGUAUAUUGAAGUGAAGUUUACAAUGCUUGCCUACAUCAGGGCUUCUAAUAAUAUUGUUUGUCUUAGUUUUUUACACUGUAAUGUUCUCUCUACCACACAGCUGUUGGCAAAUAAACCACAUUUAGUAUUGUCAAGAAGGUAAGAUUUAACGUGACUUCUUUAAAACUUUAACAUUUGAAAUAAUAACUAUUAAUUUCCAGAGAAUACGGGUACAGGUUCUAUCCAUAGAGACCAAACAAAUCUAAGGAAAGUAGGUCACAGAACACAAUCUGAUUCAAACUUGGCACUAAAUGAUGCAAUGUUUUUUUCUUCACAUAAUCAUGAUGUUCUAAUCAUUCUGUGAUUCUGACCUUUAAGUCAGUGGGUAGUCUAUUAUUACUUGGUAGCUGCUGAAUCCAGAGUCAACAUUUUGGAAGCUAAAGAAUGCCCAUCUUCUUUCAAAAUUCUUUGGCUUACUAAAAGCUGAGCCUAGCUAAAAGCUCUUGCCAAGGUUUAGUUAUUUUAUGCAUAUGAACUAAAACAACAAACAGAAUAUAAUUAGCAGAGGAUUAAAAAAUAGAGAAUAUAUUUCUUUUCUAACAUAUUACACAUGUAAAACACACUGAAUAUAUUUGACAUUUAAAAAAAUGAUCUUCAAGCAUAUUGUAAUCUUAAAUUAUAGAUCAGAUUUUCUUAUUUCUCGAAAUGUUCUUUCUUUUUUCUACAGAUGGUAGACCAAAAUACAAUUUGUCAUAUUAGAAAUGUAAUAUUUUAAGAACUCCAAUGACAAAGUAUCUGUUCUAUCUACAGGCUAUCAAUAAGAUACAUUUCUUGCUUCUGAAAGAUAUAUACAAUCCAUUCAGGAGCUAUUAUUCAUUUAUAUUAGCAAUAUAUAAAGUGUUCAAGUAAUUUUAAAAUAUUAUCAGCUUUUCUAGGAUAUUGAUCACCUUUCCUUCACAUCCAAAGUUUCUUUUUCUUUUUCUUUUUUUUCAGGGCUGCACUCAUGGCAUAUGGAGGUUCACAGGCUAGGGGUCGAACUGAAUCAGAGCUGUAGUUGCUGGCCUACACCACAACCACACACUACCAGCUCCAAGCCGUGUCUUCGACCUACACCACAGUUCUCAGCAAUGCCAGAUGCUUAAUCCACUGAGUGAGGCCAGGGAUCAAACCUGCAUCCUCAUGGAUACUAGUUAGAUUCAUUUCUGCUGAGCCACAAUGGGAACACCCAAAGUUUCUUUCUUAACAAAAAAAAAAUUCCCAAGAAACAUAAAAUACCAAGAGAUGAUUAGAGGUACAUAUAAAAACCUUUAAGGUGAUUUGAAGUCUUGACUCAACUCUAAACAAAUGUAAUUUCACUUUUACUGACGAAUGUGUAGCUUCAAUAUAGUGAUUUACUUGAUAUAGUAAAAUAAUAUAUUUAUUUGGUAUAGUCUUUGGAAAACUAGAUACUCUAAAAUGGUCUCCAACGACGAUAAGGUUCUUUUUUUCGAGGCAUAUUGACGUACAAUAUUAUAUAAGUUUCAGGUAUACAAUAUGGUGAGUCACACUAUUUAACGGUUAUACUCCAUUUAUAGUUAUAGGAGUUGCCAUCAUGACUAAGCAGUUAAUGAACCCAACUAGCAUCCGUGAGGAUGCAGGUUCAAUCCCUGGCCUUGCUCAGUAGGUUAAGGAAGUGGCAUUGCCGUGAGCUGUGGUGUAGGUCACAGAUGUGGCUCAGAUCCUGCAAUGCUGUGGCUGUGGCGUAGGCCAGCGGCUACAGCUCAGAUUGGACCCCAGCCUGGGAACCUCCAUAUGCCGGGGGUGUGGCUCUAAAAAGGCAAACCAACCAACAAACAAAACCAUUUAUAGUUAUAAGACACUGGCUGUACUCCCUGUGUUGUACAAUAUAUCUUUGCAGCUUAUUUAUUUUACACAUAGUAGUUUGGACUAUAAGGUUCUUAACACUUAACAAUUUAACACCCUUUGGCUAUGAGAAUGAAAAGAAUUAAGUUCAAACGACUUAAAAUGCAGGUGCAUGUCGAGGAAUGGAAACCCAAAAUGACAAAUACAAUUUCAGAUUCAGUAACCUAUGUCCUUUAAAUAACUUUUGCUGUGAGAUGUUAAAGUACUGUGAGAAAAUGGAAGUGUGAAAAAAUGGUUUAUUAAAUAUUCAUUCUUGAAACUAUGCCUUCAUGCAUUCAAUGAUGCAUAAAAAACCUUUAGUGUCAGACCCAAGAGAAAAUCCUUCUGACCCCUUACAGACAAAUGACUUGUAUACCUAUUUUAUAAAAAUUCCUACACAUUAGCAAAGAAACGUACACAAAUCAAUAGAAUAAUGUGUUUUAGGUAUGGGCUGGCAAUUCACCAAAGAAGUACAAAUACAAAAUAUACGUAUGAAAGAAUGCUGAACCAGCUAAAACAUAUGUUAAAAUAAAUAUGGUAUUUUUUUCUGAUCGCAUUAGAAGAAUGUAAAAGAGUGAUACCAACAACUGUUGGACAGGUGUGAGGUAUGGGGAAAUGAGCUUUCUGUUCUGGAUGGAAGUAUACAUUUGUACAAACUUUUGGAGUGUAAUGUAAUUUUCCUUAUUAAAAUCUUAAAAGCCUAUAUCCAAUUACUUAGUAACACUACUUCUAGGAAUCCAUCUUAUAGACACGGUUACAUGAGAAUGUAAAACUAAAAUAGAGCGUGGUCAUUACAUCAUUGUUAGUAACAGCUAAAAUUUAGGAACAGCUCACAUACCUACUGAUGAGCGAAUGGUUGAGUGAACGAAGAAGCAGACCUAAAACACCUGGAAGCAUUUAAAAGAGCACCGCUGGAAAUCCAGCGCACUGGCGACACUCUUUUUCUCAGCCUGAGCAGUCGAUGCCUGGAUGUUCACUACGCACGUAUUUAUUUGCAUAUAUAACUGUACAUGCUUUUGUAAACCAUUAUCUAUUAAGAUUUAUUUUGUGCUAAUAGAUAAAACUUUAAGAGUAAACAAGACUGUAGAAUUCUUCCUUUCUAGCAAAUAAAAUUCACUUUGGGAGAUGGAAGGCAUUCGGGAGUUCCCAUUGUGGCUCAGCGGAAACGAAUCCGACUAGGAACCAUGAGGUUAUGGGUUCAAUCCUUGGCCCCGCUCAGUGGGUUAAGAAUCCAGCAUUGCCAUGACUCUGGCAUAGGUUGGCGGCUACAGCUCUCCUAGCCUGGGAACCUCCGUAUGCGGCAGGUGUAGCCCUAAAAAGCAAAAAAGCCAAAAAAAAAAAAAAAAAAAAAAAA
rnacentral:lncRNA from 1 species